CCAGGGACAGAUCUCCACCCUCGCUCCGGCUGGAGAUCUGAAACCCCUUCAGGUACGUCCUCGAAUCCACAGGCGCCGAGGUGUGUGUCACAUUGGGCUCCACGUGACCUGGGCGGUCCCACACUCGUGUCCAUCACCUGUGAAGUGGGGGCAGCUGGAAGCCGGGAACACUGCCCCGGGGCUGGACUGGAUUUCCCUAAAGAGGCUGGUGUUCCGGCAGCAGCAUGAGACAAGGACACAUGCACUCAUCUCUCCUGGUGACCAUGAGAGGCUGACUCCAGAUUUGGAUCCUGUCUGGUGUGGUCAGUGUGCAGCACUUGGGGGCAAAGCAGCCAGGAACCAGGAAGAGGCUGCAGCUUUGCUGAGGUUCGUGUCUCAUACGGGUGAGAGCUCUCUCUCUCAAGGUCUCACACCAGGUUGAAACUGCUCAUCAAGAUAAUAGCAGUCCUUUCAAGUCUGCGUGGCUCCUACAGUACAGACUCUGGGUUGAAUUUUUACUGUAAGACGACUGCAAUUUAGGCCUAUUGGUUUCUCCUGAGCUGUUGACAGUGAGAACUUAUAUGAUAGAUGUUCAGCAUUGACCCUCCUUCCAAAGCCACUUGGACAUUCCCUUACCUCUGAAUCCAAUCAGAACAGCUUAAGUUCUGAUUUCAUAGUCGAGUCUUUGGGGGAG
rnacentral:lncRNA from 1 species